GAGGGUAUAGCUCAGUGGUAGACUGCAUGCCUAGCAUGCACAAGGUUCUGGGUUCGAACCCCAGUGCCUCUA
rnacentral:tRNA from 1 species